UGUGGUCAGGGCCCGGCAGUACA
rnacentral:misc_RNA from 1 species